AAAUAUAAAUUAAUUAAAUAAAUUUAGUAAAAGUAAUUUUAAUAUUAAAAUAAAUAAUGGGGGUUAAAGUAUUUUAAUAGAAAAAAUUAGAAAUUUUAUAGUAAAUUAGUAUAGUAAUAGAAAUUUGAAAUAAAUGAAAAUUAAUUUAAAUAAAAGUAAAUUUAAAUUAUUGUAUCUUGUGUAUCAGAGUUUAUUAAAUAAAAUUUUAAAGUUAAAAUGUCUCGAAUUUAAAAGAGUUAAUUAAUUAAUAAAGUUAAUGUAAAAUAAUUAUUUUAAAUAAUUAAUUUGAAAUGAAAUGUUAAUCGUUUUUAAAUAUAUCUAGUUAUUUUAGAAAAAAAUUUAAUUUUAAAUUUAUUUAAGAAAAAAUUAUUUAAUAUAAUUUUUUCUUAAAUAAAUUUUAUAAUUUAAGGGAUAAGCUUUAAAUUAAAAAAUUAUAAUAAAAUAAAAAAAAAUUAAAAUUUUUAAAAUUUAUAUUGUUUAAAAAUUAAAGUUUAUUAUAAAAAAUUUUAUUAAAAAUAAAAUUUAAAUUAAAAUUUAAUUUAUUAUAAAAAUAUAAUUUAUAAUAAAAAAAUAUUAAAAAAAAUGAUAAAAUUAGUAUAAUAAAUAAUAUAAAAUAAUAUAUUUAUUAAAAAAUAAUUAAAAGGAAUUCGGCAAAUUUUUAUAUUCACCUGUUUAACAAAAACAUGUCUUUUUGAAAAUAAUUUAAAGUCUAAUCUGCCCACUGAUUUAAAUAUUAAAGGGCUGCAGUAUAUUGACUGUACAAAGGUAGCAUAAUCAUUAGUCUUUUAAUUGAAGACUUGUAUGAAAGAUUUGAUGAAAUAUAAACUGUCUCUUAAUUAUUUAUAGAAUUUAAUUUUUUAGUUAAAAAGCUAAAAUAAAUUUAAAAGACGAGAAGACCCUAUAGAGUUUUAUAAUUAUUAAUUAUUAAAUAUUUAUAUAAAAUUUUAAUGUUAAAUAAUAAUAAUUAUUAUGUUGGGAUGAUAAAAAAAUUAAUAAAACUUUUUUUAAUUUUAAACAAAAAUAAAUGAGUAAAUGAUCCAUAAUUAUUGAUUAAAAGAAUAAAUUACCUUAGGGAUAACAGCGUAAUAUUUUUUUUUAGUACAAAUAAAAAAAAAGUUUGCGACCUCGAUGUUGGAUUAAGAUAAAAUUUAAAUGCAAAAGUUUAAAAUUUUGAUCUGUUCGAUCAUUAAAAUCUUACAUGAUCUGAGUUCAAACCGGUGUAAGCCAGGUUGGUUUCUAUCUUUAAUAAAAUAAAAUAUUUUA
rnacentral:rRNA from 1 species